UCCCAGACUCCUACGGGAGGCAGCAGUGGGGAAUAUUGGGCAAUGGGCGCAAGCCUGACCCAGCAACGCCGCGUGAAGGAAGAAGGCUUUCGGGUUGUAAACUUCUUUUGACAGGGAAGAGCAGAAGACGGUACCUGUCGAAUAAGCCACGGCUAACUACGUGCCAGCAGCCGCGGUAAUACGUAGGUGGCAAGCGUUGUCCGGAUUUACUGGGUGUAAGGGGCGUGUAGCCGGGCUGACAAGUCAGAUGUGAAAUCCGGGGGCUCAACCCCCGAACUGCAUUUGAAACUGUUGGUCUUGAGUAUCGGAGAGGCAGGCGGAAUUCCUAGUGUAGCGGUGAAAUGCGUAGAUAUUAGGAGGAACACCAGUGGCGAAGGCGGCCUGCUGGGCUGUGACUGACGUUGAGGCCCGAAGGCGUGGGGAGCAAACAGGAUUACAUACCCCGGUAAUA
rnacentral:rRNA from 1 species